GUGAGGAAUAUUGCGCAAUGGCCGAAAGGCUGACGCAGCGACGCCGCGUGGAGGAUGAAAUCCGUUAGGAUGUAAACUCCUUUUGCCGGGGAAGAAUGUCCGCCUAUGGCGGAAGUGACGGUACCUGGCGAAUAAGGAUCGGCUAACUACGUGCCAGCAGCCGCGGUAAUACGUAGGAUCCGAGCGUUGUCCGGAAUUACUGGGUGUAAAGGGCGUGUAGGUGGGCUUCUAAGUCGGUGGUGAAAUCCUGCAGCUUAACUGUAGAACUGCCAUUGAUACUGGAAGUCUUGAGUGCGGCAGAGGGAGAUAGAAUUCAUGGUGUAGCGGUGAAAUGUGUAGAUAUCAUGAAGAAUACCAGUUGCGAAGGCGGUCUCCUGGUCCGUUACUGACACUGAGGCGCGAAAGCGUGGGGAGCAAACAGGAUUAGAAACCCCGGUAGUCC
rnacentral:rRNA from 1 species